rnacentral:ncRNA from 1 species
UUCUUCGGGGUAGGGUGCAAGUCCCAACCGGCGGUAUAGUCCGCGACCUGUCGUCAUUUGACGGCGGCUGAUUUGGUGAGAUUCCAAAACCGACAGUAAAGUCUGGAUGAGAGAAGGA